UUUGUUGUCCUGCGCAAUUUUACUGUAUUUUCCUUGUUCAUGUGCCUUCAAAUACCACGGAAGUCCUGGCUGAUUGGGGAGUCUACCACUAUACUGCCUUCUGCUUUAGGAUUAUGCUGAUAGCAUAUCAUGAAAUGCUGGCAUACACCAACCUCAUGCAUAUGUUCCCUGAGUCAGCCUACUUGGUAACACACCCGUGCCCACCAGUUUUGCAAAACUGGUUCUGCAGUCAGAUGUUGGCUUGAAGUAUCUGAGGGAAUGGUAGUGGCUGAACACAGUCACAGAUGGAAUACCAGACCUUGCCACAGUGUUGCUGUGAGACAAAAGUGUCUUCCUCCUGCAAAUGGAAGAUGAAUCCUUGUACAGUGCUGGCAUAGGGUAUCAACAGCCUGCAGUUCUUCAUCUGAGGAAGGCAAGGAUUUACUAAUCACUUCAAAAGCUUGAUACAGAAGAACCUUCCUGGACUUGAUAGAGAAGGGACUGGACUUGGUUCUUAAACCCUGGAGGCUAUCUGUUCCAAAAACAUGCAGAGUGCUGGCAGUUCAGCAGAGGAAACUGGACUGGAAAUUCUGGAGGCCUGGAGACCCCACCAAUGACUGACAAACCGGAAGGGAAGGUGGAAUGGGCAAUAGUGGCUGUGAAUGUUUCCUGAGGAAGACAAGCAAGAAGACAGAUGCCUAGUAAUGCUUUAACUAGAUUCCUUGUGGAAUAGGCACGCAGUGGCCUGGAAGCUCGCAAGGAGGGCCUUGCUGUGGUGUGGAAUCUUAAAACAGGGAGAGGCGAAGUUGUCAUGGACUGGCACUGCAGACAAAUGCACUUGGCUCAAUGUACAUGGAACUUGGUGAAUGUCUGUGCCUUUCCUUCGGUGUGAGCAUAGAAGACUCUGCUUCAAGGCUCAAAGCUAGAGUCAGACCUUGAAGCAAUUUGCUGUUAAUCCUGACUAUUGAUCCAUAUCUGGUGGAUAUCGGAAGGAAAUGCUGUUCACAGUAACUGAGCUGUCCUGUGGUAGCAAAAAGCUGAGAAGUGUAAUUAGUUGUACUACUUCAUCCCUGCUGCUCAGUGGAAGUUAGAAUUUUGCUUUGAGGAGAAUAAAGGUUUUUUAUGAACCAAAAUUGAUUAUUUUCUUCUUAGCCAGUGAAACAUUCCCUACUUUCACAAGUCAUUCUUAGAAUAACAAUAAAACUUUCUAUAUGUGAUAGAGGCA